GCUCGACCCACCCUGAUGGUGCUGCCCCCCUCCAGAGAGGAGCUACAGCAGGGGAAGGCCACGCUCAUGUGCCUGGCCAACAAGGGCUUCCCCUCAGACUGGAGUCUGUCCUGGAAGGUGGACGGCAGCAGCAGCAGCAGCUGGGAGGAGGGCAGGAGCCCCGGGAUGCUGCAGGAGGACGGCCUCUACAGCUGGAGCAGCACCCUGAGGCUCCCUGCAGACCAGUGGGAGAAGGUGUGCUCUGUGACCUGUGAGGCCACCCAGGGCUCCCACACUCCUCUCUCACAGACACUGAGGAGAGACCAGUGUUCCCAGUCCUGAGCUGACUCGCUGGUUUUCCUCUGCAGGUGUCUCUCUCUUUCUGUCACUCGUC